UCCCGGGACCCUGGCAGUGGCGGGCUGCACAGGCUCCCCGGAAGCGGGGUGUGGAUAGUGACCUGUGCUCGCAUACAGGCUUCUUGGUGGCUGCAGCAGCAGCCUUAGCGUCUCAUGCCCGUCUCUGGGGUCCGCGCUGAUAGCCGCGGCUCAUUCCCGUCUCUGGAGCUUGUUUAGGCGGUGCUCUGAAUCCCCUCUCUUCGCUCACCCCGAAACAGCUGUCUCUUGCCUCUUCGGCAGUUUCAGACUUUUUCCCGGACUCCAUCCCGGCUAGCUGUGGUGCACUAUCCCCCUUCUGGCUGUGCUCACGCAGCCAACCCCAGUCCUCUCCCUGGAAUCUGACCUCUGAAGCCCAAGCCUCAGCUCCCAGCCCCCACCAGCCCCAGCGGGUGAGCAGACAAGCCUCUCGGGCUGGUGAGUGCUGCUUGGCACCGAUCCUAUGUGCAAGAAUCUUUCCACUUUGCCUUCUGCACCCCUGUUGCUGCGCUCUUCUCCAUGGCUCUGAAGCUUCCCCCCUUCCCCCCCUCCCCCCACCAUCUCUGCCAGUGAAGGGGCUUCCUAGUGUGUGGAAACUUUUCCUCCUUCACAGCUCCCUCCCAGAGGUGCAGGUCCCCUCCCUAUUCUUUUGUCUCUGUUUUUUCUUUUUUCUUUUGCCCUACCCAGGGACGUGGGGAGUUUCUUGCCUUUUGGGAAGUUUGAGGUCUUCUGCCAGCGCUUGGUGGGUGUUCUGCAGGAGUUGUUCCACACGUAGAUGUAUUUGUGUGGAGGAAAGUGAUCUCCACGUCUUACUCCUCCGUCAUCUUGACCUCAGCCUGUUGGAAGAUUUUUAAUCACAGUUUCAAUUUUAUUACUUGUGAUUGGUCUGUUCAUAUUUUCUAUUUCUUCCUGGUUCAGUCUUGGAAGGUUAUACCUUUCUAAGAAUUUGUCCAUUUCUUCCAGGUUGUCCAUUUUAUUGGCAUAGAGUUGCUUGUAGUAGUCUCUUGUGAUGCUUUGUAUUUCUGCGGUGUCCAUUGUAACUUCUCCUUCUUCAUUUCUAAUUUUAUUGAUUUGAGUCCUCUCCCUCUCUUUCUUGAUGAGUCUGGUUAAAGGUUUAUCAAUUUUGUUUAUCUUCUCAAAGAACGAGCUUUUGGUUUUUAUUGAUCUUUGCUAUUGUUUUCUUUGUUUCUAUUUCAUUUAUUUCUGGUCUGAUCUUUAUGAUUUCUUUCCUUCUACUAACUUUAGGUUUUGUUUGUUCUUCUUUCUCUAGUUCCUUUAGGUAUAAGGUUAGAUUGUUUAUUUGAGAUUUUCCUUGUUUCUUGGGGGUAGGAUCAUAUUGCUAUAAACUUCCCUCUUAGAACUGCUUUUGCUGCAUCCCACAGGUUUUGGAUCGUCAUGUUUUCAUUGUCUCUAGGUAUUUUUUGAUUUCCUCUUUAAUUUCUUCAGUGAUCUCUUGGUUAUUUAGUAACAUAUUAUUUAGCCUCCAUGUGUUUGUUUUUUUACGUUUUUUUCCCUGUAAUUGAUUUCUAAUCUCGUAGCGUUGUGUUCGGAAAAGAUGCUUGAUAUGAUUUCAAUUUUCUUAAAUUUACCGAGGCUUGAUUUGUGACUCAAGAUGUGAUCUAUCUUGGAGAAUGUUCCGUGUGCACUUCUGCUGUUGUGGAAUCUGCUGUUUUGGAUAGAAUGUCCUAUAAAUAUCAAUUAAGUCUAUCUGGUCUAUUGUGUCAUUUAAAGCUUCUAUUUCCUUAUUAAUUUUCUGUUUGGGUGAUCUGUCCAUUGGUGUAAGUGAGGUGUUAAAGUCCCCCACUAUUAUUGUGUUACUGUUGAUUUCCUCUUUUAUAGCUGUUAGCAGUUGCCUUAUGUAUUGAGGUGUUCCUAUGUUGGGUGCAUAUAUAUUUAUAAUUGUUAUAUAUUCUUCUUGGAUUGACCCCUUGAUCAUUAUAUAGUAUCCUUCCUUGUCUCUUGUAACAUUCUUUAUUUUGAAGUCUAUUUUAUCUGAAAUGAGUAUUGCUACUCCAGCUUUCUUUUGAUUUCCAUUUGCAUGGAAUAUCAUUUUCCAUCCUCUCACUUUCAUUCUGUAUGUGUCCCUAGGUCUGAAGUGGGUCUCUUGUAGACAGCAUAUAUAUGCAUCUUGUUUUUGUAUCCAUUCAGCAAGCCUGUGUCUUUUGGUUGGAGCAUUUAAUCUUUUCAUGUUUAAGGUAAUUAUCAAUAUGUAUGUUCCUAUUACCAUUUUCUUAAUUGUUAUGGGUUUGUUUUUGUAAGUCCUUUUCUUCUCUUGUGUUUCCCACUUAGAGAAGUUCCUUUAGCAUUUCUUGCAGAGCUGGUUUGGUGGUGCUGAAUUCUGUUGGCUUUUGCUUGUCUGCAAAGCUUUUGAUUUCUCCAUUGAAUCUGAAUGAGAUCCUUUCCAGGUAGAGUAAUCUUGGUUGUAUGUUCUUCCCUUUCAUCACUUUAAGUAUAUCAUGCCACUCCCUUCUGGCUUGUAGAGUUUCUGCUGAGAAAUCAGCUGUUAACCUUAUGGGAGUUCCCUUGUAUGGUAUUUGUCAUUUUUUCCAUUGCUGCUUUCAAUAAUUUUUCUUUGUCUUUAAUUUUUGUCAGUUUGAUUCCUAUGUGUCUCAGCAUAUUUCUCCUUGGGUUUAUCCUGCCUGCAACUCUCUGUGCUUCCUGGACUUGGGUGGCUAUCUCCUUCCCCAUAUUAGGGAAGUUUUCGACUAUAAUAUCUUCAAAUAUUUUCUCGGGUCCUUUCUCUCUCUCUUCCCCUUCUGGGACCCCUAUGAUGCGAAUGUUGGUGCGUUUAAUGUUGUCCCAGAGGUCUCUUAGGCUGUCUUCAUUUCUUUUCAUUCUUUUUUCUUUAUUCUGUUCUGCGACAGUGAAUUCCACCAUUCUGUCUUCCAGGUCACUUAUCUGUUCUUCUGCCUCAGUUAUUCUGCUAUUGAUUCCUUCUAGUGUAUUUUUCAUUUCAGUUAUUGUAUUGUUCAACUCUGUUUGUUCUUUAAUUCUUCUAAGUGUUUUGUUUUUUUUAGUUUUUUUUGCGGUACACGGGCCUCUCACUGCUGUGGCCUCUCCCGUUGCGGAGCACAGGCUCUGGACGCACAGGCUCAGCAGCCAUGGCUCACAGGCCCAGCCGCUCCGCGGCAUGUGGGAUCUUCCCGGACCAGGGCACGAACCCACAUCCCCUGCAUCCGCAGGCGGACUCCCAACCACUGCACCACCAGGGAAGCCCCUAAGUGUUUUUUCUUUAAUCCUUCUAGGUCUUUGUUAAACAUUUCUUGCAUCUUCUUGAUCUUUGCCUCCAUUCUUUUUCUGAGGUCCUGGAUCAUCUUCACUAUCAUUAUUCUGAAUUCGUUUUCUGGAAGGUUGCCUAUCUCCACUUCAUUUACUUGUUUUUCUGAGGUUUUAUCUUGUUCUUUCACCUGGUAAAACGUCCUCUGCCUUUUCAUUUUGUCUAUCUUUCUGUGAAUGUGAUUUUCUUUCCACAGGCUGCAGAACUGUAGUUCUUCUUGCUUCUGCUGUCUGCCCUCUGGUGGAUGAGGCUAACUAAGAGGCUUGUGCAAGCUUCCUGAUAGGAGGGACUGGUGGUGGGUAGAUCUGGGUGUUGCCCUGGUGGGCAGAGCUCAGUAAAACUUUAAUCCACUUGUCUGCUGAUGGGUGGGGCUGGGUUCCCUCCCUGUUGGUUGUUUGGCCUGAGGCGACCCAGCACUGGAGCCCACCCAGCUCUUUGGGGGGGCUAAUGGCAGACUCUGGGAGGGCUCACACCAAGUGGUACUUCCCAGAACUUCUGCUGCCAGUGUCCUUGUCCCCACGGCGAGCCACAGCCACCCCCCGUCUCUGCAGGAGACCUUCCAACACUAGCAGGGAAGCUGCCAGUGCCAGUUCUUUGCUCCAUGACACAGUCCUGGCAGGAGAAGUCAGACCACCAUCUUGGGCUGGCCUCAUUCCCAGGAGAAGCCAGCGCAGAGACUAUGAGAGAUGCAGCUGAAGGAAGCACAUUUCAGGCGCUCCUCUCUAGGGUAAAUGUUCCAAGGAGCCCCAGGCUAGAUUAGAGAUAAACAAGACAAAAAUCUUGUGAAGAAAUCAGCAGGAGCCCUUACUCCUCAAAGAAGACAGCGGUGUAAUACAUGUUUUCAAAAAUA